UACGUAGGAGGCAAGCGUCGUCCGGAUUUACUGGGCGUAAAGAGCGUGUAGGCGGUUCGUUAAGUCCGCUGUGAAAUCUCCAGGCUCAACCUGGAUAGGUCGGUGGAAACUAGCGAACUUGAGGACGGUAGAGGGGGGUGGAAUUCCCGGUGUAGUGGUGAAAUGCGUAGAGAUCGGGAGGAACACCAGCGGCGAAGGCGGCCCCCUGGGCCGCUCCUGACGCUGAGACGCGAAGGCCAGGGUAGCGAACGGG
rnacentral:rRNA from 1 species